rnacentral:rRNA from 1 species
GCUACACAUGCAAGUCGAGCGGUAGCACAGAGAGCUUGCUCUCGGGUGACGAGCGGCGGACGGGUGAGUAAUGUCUGGGAAACUGCCUGAUGGAGGGGGAUAACUACUGGAAACGGUAGCUAAUACCGCAUAACGUCGCAAGACCAAAGUGGGGGACCUUCGGGCCUCAUGCCAUCAGAUGUGCCCAGAUGGGAUUAGCUGGUAGGUGGGGUAACGGCUCACCUAGGCGACGAUCCCUAGCUGGUCUGAGAGGAUGACCAGCCACACUGGAACUGAGACACGGUCCAGACUCCUACGGGAGGCAGCAGUGGGGAAUAUUGCACAAUGGGCGCAAGCCUGAUGCAGCCAUGCCGCGUGUGUGAAGAAGGCCUUCGGGUUGUAAAGCACUUUCAGCGGGGAGGAAGGCGAUGAGGUUAAUAACCUCGUCGAUUGACGUUACCCGCAGAAGAAGCACCGGCUAACUCCGUGCCAGCAGCCGCGGUAAUACGGAGGGUGCAAGCGUUAAUCGGAAUUACUGGGCGUAAAGCGCACGCAGGCGGUCUGUCAAGUCGGAUGUGAAAUCCCCGGGCUCAACCUGGGAACUGCAUUCGAAACUGGCAGGCUAGAGUCUUGUAGAGGGGGGUAGAAUUCCAGGUGUAGCGGUGAAAUGCGUAGAGAUCUGGAGGAAUACCGGUGGCGAAGGCGGCCCCCCUGGACAAAGACUGACGCUCAGGUGCGAAAGCGUGGGGAGCAAAACAGGAUUAGAUACCCUGGUAGUCCACGCUGUAAACGAUGUCGAUUUGGAGGUUGUGCCCUUGAGGCGUGGCUUCCGGAGCUAACGCGUUAAAUCGACCGCC